rnacentral:rRNA from 1 species
UGGGGAAUUUUUCGCAAUGGGGGAAACCCUGACGAAGCAACGCCGCGUGGAGGAUGAAGGCCUUCGGGUCGUAAACUCCUGUCGACCGGGACGAACGCUAUUGGGCCCAAUACGCCCGAUAGUCGACUGUACCGGUGGAGGAAGCCACGGCUAACUCUGUGCCAGCAGCCGCGGUAAUACAGAGGUGGCAAGCGUUGUUCGGAAUUACUGGGCGUAAAGAGCUCGUAGGCGGUUGCGUAAGUCGGAUGUGAAAACUCAGGGCUCAACCCUGAGACGCCAUCCGAUACUGCGCUGACUUGAAUCCAGUAGGGGAGUGUGGAAUUCCUGGUGUAGCGGUGAAAUGCGCAGAUAUCAGGAGGAACACCCAUGGCGAAGGCAGCACUCUGGGCUGGUAUUGACGCUGAGGAGCGAAAGCAUGGGUAGCGAACAGGAUUAGAUACCCAUGUAGUCCCUGAGCGGGCUGGCAAGGCGCAU